rnacentral:rRNA from 1 species
AGUGAACGCUGGCGGUAGGCCUAACACAUGCAAGUCGAACGGCAGCACAGUAAGAGCUUGCUCUUGCGGGUGGCGAGUGGCGGACGGGUGAGGAAUAUAUCGGAAUCUACUUUUUCGUGGGGGAUAACGUAGGGAAACUUACGCUAAUACCGCAUACGACCUACGGGUGAAAGCAGUGGAUCUUCGGACCUUGCGCGAUUGAAUGAGCCGAUGUGGGAUUAGUUAGUUGGCGGGUUAAUGGCCCACCAUGGGGACGAUCGGCAGCUGGCCGGAGAGGAUGGUCAGCGACACUGGAACUGAGACACGGUCCAGGCUCCUACGGGACGCAGCAGUGGGCAAUAUUGGACAAUGGGCGCAAGCUUGAUCCAACCAUACCGCGUGGGUGAAGGAGACCUUCGGGUUGUAAAGCCCUUUUGUUGGGAAAGAAAAGCAGCAGGUUAAUACCCAGCUGUUCUGACGGUACCCAAAGAAUAAGCACCGGCUAACUUCGUG